CCUACGGGAGGCAGCAGUGGGGAAUAUUGGGCAAUGGACGCAACCCUGACCCAGCAAUGCCGCGUGAAUGAUGAAGGUCUUCGGAUUGUAAAGUUCUUUAAUCAGAGACGAAAAGGAUGACGGUAGCUGAGUAAUAAGCCACGGCAAACUAUGUGCCAGCAGCCGCGGUAAUACAUAGGUGGCAAGCGUUGUCCGGAUUGACUGGGCGUAAAGGGAGCGUAGGCGGUCUGUUAAGUUGGAAGUGAAUUCACGGGGCUCAACCGCGGAACUGCUUUCAAGACUGACGGACUUGAGUGUAGGUGGGGUAAGCGGAAUUCCUAGUGUAGCGGUGGAAUGCGUAGAUAUUACGAAGAACACCGAUUGCGAAGGCAGCUUACUGGAUUAUAACUGACGCUGAUGCUCGAAAGCGUGGGUAGCAAACAGGAUUAGAUACCCGAGUAGUC
rnacentral:rRNA from 1 species